GAUUCUUUAACUUAAUGGUAAAGUGCAUUUUUGAUAAGAAUGAAAUUUAAGUUCAA
rnacentral:tRNA from 1 species